CCUACGGGAGGCAGCAGUGGGGAAUAUUGCGCAAUGGGGGAAACCCUGACGCAGCAACGCCGCGUGAGUGAGGAAGGACUUCGGUCUGUAAAGCUCUGUUAAUGAGGAAAAAUGGCAUCGGGUCUAAUAGGCCUGGUGUUUGAUGGUACUCAUAGAGGAAGCACCGGCUAACUUCGUGCCAGCAGCCGCGGUAAUACGAAGGGUGCAAGCGUUGUUCGGAUUUAUUGGGCGUAAAGCGCGCGUAGGCGGACCUGCAAGUAAGAUGUGAAAUCUCGAGGCUCAACCUCGAAACUGCGUCUUAAACUACAGGUCUAGAAUCUCGGAGGGGGAAGGGGAAUGUCGCAUGUAGGGGUAAAAUCCGUAGAUAUGCGACGGAACACCAGAGGCGAAGGCGCCUUCCUGGACGAGUAUUGACGCUGAGGCGCGAAAGCGUGGGGAUCAAACAGGAUUAGAUACCCUGGUAGUCCACGCUGUAAACGAUGAACACUAGGUAUUGGAGGAUUUGACCCCUUCAGUGCCGCNGCGACGACGUAGUAGUUCCGUCCGUCGGAGGUACGGUCGGUCGAAGAACGUUAAAACUUAAAAUUAAGUUAAGUUAGUUACGGCGUUGAGGACGUUAGCCGAACGGACGACGACGAACGGGGAAGGUUAGGGAG
rnacentral:rRNA from 1 species